UACGGAGGGUGCGAGCGUUGUCCGGAAUCACUGGGCGUAAAGGGCGCGUAGGCGGCCUGGUAAGUAGGGGGUGAAAUCCUGCGGCUUAACCGCAGGGCUGCCUUCUAAACUGUCAGGCUCGAGCACGGUAGAGGCAGAUGGAAUUCCCGGUGUAGCGGUGGAAUGCGUAGAGAUCGGGAAGAACAUCAGUGGCGAAGGCGGUCUGCUGGGCCGUUGCUGACGCUGAGGCGCGACAGCGUGGGGAGCAAACAGGAUUAGACUACCC
rnacentral:rRNA from 1 species